UUUGGCAUUUGGCUUGUUAUCAACAAUCGCGUUGCCAACCGCAUGCAAUAAGUGGGUUUUACCAAGACCGGUUCCGCCAUA
rnacentral:antisense_RNA from 1 species